AUUGAACGCUGGCGGCAUGCUCUACACAUGCAAGUCGAACGGUAACAGGGUGCUUGCACCGCUGACGAGUGGCGAACGGGUGAGUAAUGCGUCGGAACGUGCCGAGUAGUGGGGGAUAACGCAGCGAAAGUUGUGCUAAUACCGCAUACGUACUGAGGUAGAAAGUGGGGGACCUUCGGGCCUCACGCUAUUCGAGCGGCCGACGUCUGAUUAGCUAGUAGGUGAGGUAAAGGCUCACCUAGGCGACGAUCAGUAGCGGGUCUGAGAGGAUGGUCCGCCACACUGGGGCUGAGACACGGCCCAGACUCAUUCGGGAGUCAGCAGUGGGGAAUUUUGGACAAUGGGCGAAAGCCGGAUCCAGCCAUGCCGCGUGUCUGAAGAAGGCCUUCGGGUUGUAAAGGACUUUUGUCAGGGAGGAAAUCCCUAGUGCUAAUAACACUGGGGGAUGACAGUACCUGAAGAAUAAGCACCGGCUAACUACGUGCCAGCCGCCGCAGUAA
rnacentral:rRNA from 1 species